rnacentral:tRNA from 1 species
GUUCCCGUAGCUCAGCAGGAUAGAGCGUUCGCCUCCUAAGCGAAAGGCCCCGUGUUCGAAUCACGGCGGGAACGCCA